AUACGGAGGGGGUUAGCGUUGUUCGGAAUUACUGGGCGUAAAGCGCGUGUAGGCGGAUUGGUAAGUUAGAGGUGAAAUCCCGGGGCUCAACCCCGGAACUGCCUUUAAUACUGCCAGUCUUGAGUUCGAGAGAGGUGAGUGGAAUUCCUAGUGUAGAGGUGAAAUUCGUAGAUAUUAGGAGGAACACCAGUGGCGAAGGCGGUUCACUGGCUCGAUACUGACGCUGAGGUGCGAAAGCGUGGGGAGCAAACAGGAUUAGAUACCCCAGUAGUCC
rnacentral:rRNA from 1 species